AAGAAAUGACUGAUUCAAGGUCUGGGGCAGGAAACGUACAACAUGAACUUGUCAUACCAGUUGGUGAGGAAGCUGUCAAAGAGUACUGGGAUCACAUCAAAAAGAACACAGGAUUCAACCUGAAGAGGUCCCAACUGGCCCAAGAGAGGACAGUCUUGGACAGGGUAAUAACUGUAAUGAAAACCCACAAUUGUUUAAAUUCUUGAAUUCCUACUGAUGUUAAAAAUACUAACUGGUCAUUUUUAGAGGAUGAUAGGAAACUAGUUCAUAUUCUUUAAAACUAUUAAGUAAAAUCAGAUUAAGAGAGGGGGAAGAGAAUAAAAAGGGGAGGUAAUGGAGAAUGAGAUUGAUCAAAUUAAGCUAUGUGCUUAUACAAAUAUGGCAUAAUGAAUCUUACUAUUAUGUAUAAUUAUAAUGCAC
rnacentral:lncRNA from 1 species